GAGGAAGGAAAGAAAACAGUAAGUACUGCUAAUCCUUACGCACCUCAGUUAAAAUCUGGGGCUUUCUCA
rnacentral:tRNA from 1 species